ensembl:snoRNA SNORD82 Small nucleolar RNA SNORD82
AGCGUGAUGAUCAACAAGGGACUUAAUACUGAUCAUGUAUGAUGUCACCUUUUUAUGUAUCUGAC